rnacentral:misc_RNA from 1 species
UCUGUGUAUCACAAAAGGCAGCACCUAUAAAUUUCAGAAAAUUACUUGAGACUGAGAGAGAGGCAGACAGACAGAUAGAGACACAACAGACUUUGACAAAUCAUUACUUCCUACAAAUGCAGCAAAGCAUGGCUUGAGGUAACAGCCUCAUGCAUAAUAGCAGGAGGACUGUAGACAACUAGACAUAGGCAUAUAUGCAAGAGGAGCAGCCAAAAAGCACAUGGAAGAUUGAAACGUAACCAAAGGAAGAUGAUUAGCAUAUACAAUAAACCAAAUAUCAUGAUCUGAGUAGAAUGUAGA